UCCUGGCUCAGGAUGAACGCUGGCGGCGUGCCUAACACAUGCAAGUCGAACGGACCUAUUAUUUAACAGAGACUUCGGUUGAAGUUGGUUUAGGUUAGUGGCGGACGGGUGAGUAACGCGUGGAGAACCUGCCCUGUACUGGGGGAUAACAGUGAGAAAUCACUGCUAAUACCGCAUAAGCGCACGAAACCGCAUGGUUUUGUGUGAAAAACUCCGGUGGUACAGGAUGGCUCCGCGUUGGAUUAGCCUGUUGGCGGGGUAACGGCCCACCAAAGCUACGAUCCAUAGCCGGCCUGAGAGGGUGAACGGCCACAUUGGGACUGAGACACGGCCCAGACUCCUACGGGAGGCAGCAGUGGGGAAUAUUGCACAAUGGGGGGAACCCUGAUGCAGCGACGCCGCGUGAAGGAAGAAGUAUCUCGGUAUGUAAACUUCUAUCAGCAGGGAAGAAAAUGACGGUACCUGACUAAGAAGCCCCGGCUAACUACGUGCCAGCAGCUGC
rnacentral:rRNA from 1 species